rnacentral:rRNA from 1 species
GAUGAACGCUGGCGGCGUGCCUAACACAUGCAAGUCGAGCGAUUCUCUUCGGAGAAGAGCGGCGGACGGGUGAGUAACGCGUGGGUAACCUGCCCUGUACACACGGAUAACAUACCGAAAGGUAUGCUAAUACGAGAUAAUAUGCUUUAUCGCAUGGUAGAAGUAUCAAAGCUUUUGCGGUACAGGAUGGACCCGCGUCUGAUUAGCUAGUUGGUAAGGUAACGGCUUACCAAGGCGACGAUCAGUAGCCGACCUGAGAGGGUGAUCGGCCACAUUGGAACUGAGACACGGUCCAAACUCCUACGGGAGGCAGCAGUGGGGAAUAUUGCACAAUGGGCGGAAGCCUGAUGCAGCAACGCCGCGUGAGCGAUGAAGGCCUUCGGGUCGUAAAGCUCUGUCCUCAGGAAGAUAAUGACGGUACUUGAGGAGGAAGCCCGGCUAACUACGUGCCAGCAG